GAUGAACGCUGGCGGCGUGCCUAAUACAUGCAAGUCGAGCGAACGGACGAGAAGCUUGCUUCUCUGAUGUUAGCGGCGGACGGGUGAGUAACACGUGGAUAACCUACCUAUAAGACUGGGAUAACUUCGGGAAACCGGAGCUAAUACCGGAUAAUAUUUUGAACCGCAUGGUUCAAAAGUGAAAGACGGUCUUGCUGUCACUUAUAGAUGGAUCCGCGCUGCAUUAGCUAGUUGGUAAGGUAACGGCUUACCAAGGCAACGAUGCAUAGCCGACCUGAGAGGGUGAUCGGACACACUGGAACUGAGACACGGUCCCGACUCCUACGGGAGGCAGCAGUAGGGAAUCUUCCGCAAUGGGCGAAAGCCUGACGGAGCAACGCCGCGUGAGUGAUGAAGGUCUUCGGAUCGUAAAACUCUGUUAUUAGGAAAGAACAUAUGUGUAAGUAACUGUGCACAUCUUGACGGUACCUAAUCAGAAAGCCACGGCUAACUACGUG
rnacentral:rRNA from 1 species